GGGUUGUGAGGUUAAGCGACUAAGCGUACACGGUGGAUGCCCUGGCAGUCAGAGGCGAUGAAGGACGUGCUAAUCUGCGAAAAGCGUCGGUAAGGUGAUAUGAACCGUUACAGCCGGCGAUGUCCGAAUGGGGAAACCCAGUGCAAUUCGUUGCACUAUCGUUAACUGAAUACAUAGGUUAACGAGGCGAACCGGGGGAACUGAAACAUCUAAGUACCCCGAGGAAAAGAAAUCAACCGAGAUUCCCCCAGUAGCGGCGAGCGAACGGGGAGCAGCCCAGAGUCUGAAUCAGCUUGUGUGUUAGUGGAACGGUCUGGAAAGUCCGACGGUACAGGGUGAUAGUCCCGUACACCAAAAUGCACAGGCUGUGAACUCGAAGAGUAGGGCGGGACACGUGGUAUCCUGUCUGAAUAUGGGGGGACCAUCCUCCAAGGCUAAAUACUCCUGACUGACCGAUAGUGAACCAGUACCGUGAGGGAAAGGCGAAAAGAACCCCGGCGAGGGGAGUGAAAAAGAACCUGAAACCGUGUACGUACAAGCAGUGGGAGCACCUUUAUGGUGUGACUGCGUACCUUUUGUAUAAUGGGUCAGCGACUUAUAUUCUGUAGCAAGGUUAACCGUAUAGGGGAGCCGCAGGGAAACCGAGUCUUAACUGGGCGUUAAGUUGCAGGGUAUAGACCCGAAACCCGGUGAUCUAGCCAUGGGCAGGUUGAAGGUUGGGUAACACUAACUGGAGGACCGAACCGACUAAUGUUGAAAAAUUAGCGGAUGACUUGUGGCUGGGGGUGAAAGGCCAAUCAAACCGGGAGAUAGCUGGUUCUCCCCGAAAGCUAUUUAGGUAGCGCCUCGUGAAUUCAUCUUCGGGGGUAGAGCACUGUUUCGGCUAGGGGGUCAUCCCGACUUACCAACCCGAUGCAAACUACGAAUACCGAAGAAUGUUAUCACGGGAGACACACGGCGGGUGCUAACGUCCGUCGUGAAGAGGGAAACAACCCAGACCGCCAGCUAAGGUCCCAAAGUCACAGUUAAGUGGGAAACGAUGUGGGAAGGCACAGACAGCCAGGAUGUUGGCUUAGAAGCAGCCAUCAUUUAAAGAAAGCGUAAUAGCUCACUGGUCGAGUCGGCCUGCGCGGAAGAUGUAACGGGGCUAAACUGUGCACCGAAGCUGCGGCAGCGACACUAUGUGUUGUUGGGUAGGGGAGCGUUCUGUAAGCCUGCGAAGGUGGCCUGUGAGGGUUGCUGGAGGUAUCAGAAGUGCGAAUGCUGACAUAAGUAACGAUAAUGCGGGUGAAAAGCCCGCACGCCGGAAGACCAAGGGUUCCUGUCCAACGUUAAUCGGGGCAGGGUGAGUCGACCCCUAAGGCGAGGCCGAAAGGCGUAGUCGAUGGGAAACAGGUUAAUAUUCCUGUACUUGGUGUUACUGCGAAGGGGGGACGGAGAAGGCUAUGUUAGCCGGGCGACGGUUGUCCCGGUUUAAGCAUGUAGGCGGAGGUUCCAGGUAAAUCCGGUACCUUUUAACGCUGAGGUGUGAUGACGAGGCACUACGGUGCUGAAGUAACAAAUGCCCUGCUUCCAGGAAAAGCCUCUAAGCAUCAGGUAACAUUGAAUCGUACCCCAAACCGACACAGGUGGUCAGGUAGAGAAUACCAAGGCGCUUGAGAGAACUCGGGUGAAGGAACUAGGCAAAAUGGUGCCGUAACUUCGGGAGAAGGCACGCUGAUAUGUAGGUGAAG
rnacentral:rRNA from 1 species